rnacentral:sRNA from 1 species
AGUAAGGCCCCGCGGGCGUCCCGGCCGCCAUGUGCACCGCAGUGGACCCUCGCAUCGUCCGGAGAUACCUACUCAGGCGGCAGCUCGGGCAGGGGAGAACAUUCCGGGAAAUCACGCUCCUCCAGGUGAGUGGCCUGGGCCCUCCAGCCCAAUCCCCUUCCCCAGGUACAGAUCUCUCCAGACAGGAAAGAAACCGGGCUUCUUGGGCCCCAGAGCACAGCCCCUCCUGGCCUUCCAGCCGCCUCCGACUCUCUCCCCAGGAGUUUGGGGACCAUCCCAACAUCAUCAGCCUCCUUGACGUGAUCCGGGCAGAGAACGACAGGGACAUUUACCUGGUGUUUGAGUUUAUGG